GUCACGCUCACACGCCUUCUUUUCAAAUAAAUGACAGCAUGAGUUACAUUCAAGCACCUUUAAAACGGGCUCUCUCGACGUGUAUUGAUUCUAGUUUAAGCAUAGCUUUUCAUCAAAUAAGUUUUGUUUAAUUUUUAUAUCUAUGCAAGAAAAGUUUUUUACGACAGGCGAAUAUCUAGCUGCCUAUUAUAAAAGCAGUUGCCUCGGUAAAUAGUUGGCUGUAAUUUAAAUGGUUCGGUUAGUCUAAUUAAAGCUUAAACCCCCAGAGGAAGUCAAAAUAAAAUGUUGACGGUUUUUAACGGUAGGUAUUCUUUAAAAAAAUGGUUCAAUAGCCAAAAAAGUUAGAUAGCAAGUUAGUACACUAAAUAGACACCAGCAAACAGUCGCGUUCGCCUGAGGAGGUCACCAUAGCAACAGUAGGCUGCUAGAACGCUUUCCGUCAGGAUCUGUAUGGGACGGUACGUCGACGAAACAUAAGACUGGAGCAAAGAGAGCAAAAAAAGCACUUGCUAAAUGGAGGACUACUUUGAGAUGGCUGCUAUUCUCCGGCUUAUUGCCUCCUGUCGGCCAUGGUUUCACAUGAGGUCCGGGGUGUCAGGUCCGCUUCCACCAAUAAAGGCUGUGAUUGACACUAGCGGGAGAGACUUGAGCUGGGAAAAGAAACUGAAUCUCAAUGUAUGAGGGACGCUUGAGGCAAACCGCAGAGAAGUCACCAUACAUGUCCCUGAUGGAAGAAGACCUAAGAUGACCUCAUUAUUGCCUAUAAGAUGUUCUCCCUUUGGAUGCUUUUUGAAUACU